rnacentral:rRNA from 1 species
UACGUAGGGUGCGAGCGUUGUCCGGAAUUAUUGGGCGUAAAGAGCUCGUAGGCGGUCUGUCGCGUCGAUCGUGAAAACUUGGGGCUUAACCCUGAGCUUGCGGUCGAUACGGGCAUGACUGGAGUUCGGCAGGGGAGACUGGAAUUCCUGGUGUAGCGGUAGAAAUGCGCAGAUAUCAGGAGGAACACCGGUGGCGAAGGCGGGUCUCUGGGCCGAUACUGACGCUGAGGAGCGAAAGCGUGGGGAGCGAACAGG